CCGUGUAUAGCUCAGUUGGUAGAGCGUCGAUCUAGUAAUUCGAAGGUCGCGGCCGGGUUCCUUCCCUGCUUGCGCUGG